rnacentral:rRNA from 1 species
UAGGGAAUCUUCGGCAAUGGACGAAAGUCUGACCGAGCAACGCCGCGUGAGUGAAGAAGGUUUUCGGAUCGUAAAACUCUGUUGUUAGAGAAGAACAAGGACGUUAGUAACUGAACGUCCCCUGACGGUAUCUAACCAGAAAGCCACGGCUAACUACGUGCCAGCAGCCGCGGUAAUACGUAGGUGGCAAGCGUUGUCCGGAUUUAUUGGGCGUAAAGCGAGCGCAGGCGGUUUCUUAAGUCUGAUGUGAAAGCCCCCGGCUCAACCGGGGAGGGUCAUUGGAAACUGGGAGGCUUGAGUGCAGAAGAGGAGAGUGGAAUUCCAUGUGUAGCGGUGAAAUGCGUAGAUAUAUGGAGGAACACCAGUGGCGAAGGCGGCUCACUGGUCUGUAACUGACGCUGAGGCUCGAAAGCGUGGGGAGCAAACAGG